rnacentral:rRNA from 1 species
GACGAAUGCUGGCGGCGUGCUUAACACAUGCAAGUCGAACGAUGAAGCUGGAGCUUGCUCUGGCGGAUUAGUGGCGAACGGGUGAGUAACACGUGAGAAAUCUGCCCUUGACUCUGGGAUAACUGCGGGAAACUGUAGCUAAUACCGGAUACUUUCCCUGGUGGGCAUCCACUGGGGAAGAAAGAAUUUCGGUCAAGGAUGAUCUCGCGGCCUAUCAGCUUGUUGGUGAGGUAAUGGCUCACCAAGGCGACGACGGGUAGCCGGCCUGAGAGGGGGACCGGCCACACUGGGACUGAGACACGGCCCAGACUCCUACGGGAGGCAGCAGUGGGGAAUAUUGCACAAUGGGCGCAAGCCUGAUGCAGCAACGCCGCGUGAGGGAUGAAGGCCUUCGGGUUGUAAACCUCUUUUAGCAGGGAAGAAGCGAAAGUGACGGUACCUGCAGAAAAAGCACCGGCUAACUACGUGCCAGCCGCCGCGGUAA